UCUCUGGUAGUAUGAUAUCGGAUAGUACACCCGCCUGUCAUCACAAGAUGGAUGCAGGAAAGCGGGGUUCGAUUCCCCGCCAGAGAG